GACGAACGCUGGCGGCGUGCUUAACACAUGCAAGUCGAACGGAAAGGCCCUGCUUUCUUGGUGUUCUCGAGGGGCGAACGGGUGAGUAACACGUGUGUAACCUGCUCUUCUCUUUGGUGGAACUUCACGACAGUGGGGCUAAUACCGUAUAGGAUCUCCUCUUGCGUGGUGGGGGUGGGAACGUUUCGGCGGGUGGGGUUGGACUCGCGGCUUAUCAGCUUGUUGGUGGGGUAGUGGCUUACCAAGGCUUUGACGGGUAGCCGGCCUGAGAGGGUGACCGGCCACAUUGGGACUGAGAUACGGCCCAGACUCCUACGGGAGGCAGCAGUGGGGAAUAUUGCACAAUGGGCGGAAGCCUGAUGCAGCGACGCCGCGUGCGGGAUGACGGCCUUCGGGUUGUAAACCGCUUUCGCCUGUGACGAAGCGUGAGUGACGGUACUGGGUAAAGAAGCACCGGCUAACUACGUG
rnacentral:rRNA from 1 species